GUUACGCGAGACCUUACCUGGUCUUGACAUCCAUGGAAUCCCGGAGAGAUUCGGGAGUGCCGCAAGGAACCAUGAGACAGGUGCUGCAUGGCUGUCGUCAGCUCGUGUCGUGAGAUGUUGGGUUAAGUCCCGCAACGAGCGCAACCCUUGUCCUUAGUUGCCAUCAUUAAGUUGGGAACUCUAAGGAGACCGCCGGUGACAAACCGGAGGAAGGUGGGGAUGACGUCAAGUCAUCAUGGCCUUUAUGGCCAGGGCUACACACGUGCUACAAUGGCAGGUACAGAGGGAAGCCAACCGGCGACGGGGAGCUAAUCCCAGAAAGCCUGUCUUAGUCCGGAUUGCAGUCUGCAACUCGACUGCAUGAAGUUGGAAUCGCUAGUAAUCGCAGAUCAGCAUUGCUGCGGUGAAUACGUUCCCGGGUCUUGUACACACCG
rnacentral:rRNA from 1 species